rnacentral:lncRNA from 1 species
CCCAGAGGGGCGAGGUCUUCAUAGACGGAACGGGAGAAACAAGAAUUAAGGAGGAAGGUUCAAAAUGAGCGACGCCGUCGUAAGUGAGCAAGAGAAAAUCCUGCAGGAAUUCCAUGCAGAAAGAGUUUUCCUUUCAGGAAACAAGGAAUGGCUUGCAGGGAAGAAUUUCUUUGUGGUGAAAAGCACGGUGGAGAGAAUUGUGAAGUGGGCUUAUGAAUCCAGCACUGGCUUGUACCGCUUUGACCCCAUUCCCGUGGGCAGCUACAACGAAGGGCUGCACCUGCAAGUGGAAAACGCGUCCAAUGACUUUGACUUCCUCAUCCCAAUACGGUAUAACUCCAAGUUGGCGCUCCGGAGCAGAACCGUCCCCAUUAAUUCCUCCAGCCGUCCCACCCACCAGCUCCCCACCUACAUUUUUCGCUACAAAGGAAUCUGUAACCGUCCUGACAAAGGGCUGCCGGUUUUUUGCCAGGGCACCAAAAUGUUGGUGGAUAUUGAGGAUGUGGCAGAGACAGAUGUGCAAAUCUAUUGUGAUAAGCCAAAAUCAGCAUUGGCGGAAGAGGAGGAAGAGGAGGAUGAUCCUGAGUAUUGUAAAUUAGAAAUGUGCCAGGAGAGUCUCGGCCACCAUAAUCUGGAUCCAGAGCAAAUCCUGAAGGACUUUCAUCAAUACGUAGGAAUUGCCUUAAAUCCAGAGUACACCCAUCCUCGACAAAACGAUCCCGUUUUCCAACUUCGGUUGUUCCCUUCCCGAGUACCCACAAUACAUAAUAGCAUAAGAGGGAACAUCAGAUUAGAGACCUUGGAUUUAAGUGGUCCAGCCAUCCAGUUGGUUUUCAACGAAGGGAAUGAAACUAUCCCGGUGAAGCUGGUGCCAGCCGUUCGGGGAGCAAUAGAAUUCUCCAACGAAUGGAUGAGGGAGGAUCUCACUCACCUUUCUGACUGGUGGGAUGGUGACCUCACCAAUGAAAAGAAGAGCUUCCUCCAGAAGGUCCAAGCCCUUAAGGAAACGGGGCUAGAGCUCGUCCCAAAGGGAGGAUUCUGGAGGUAAAAAAAACCCAAGUUGUUUGGUGGAAAGAACGGUGUGGCCAAGGUUGAGGACAUGGUUUUAAGCCCUGUGGGAUGCUGGAUAGGGAUGCAGAAUAAAACACCUGACUGGAACA